CCUACGGGAGGCUGCAGUGAGGAAUAUUGGUCAAUGGGCGCGAGCCUGAACCAGCCAAGUCGCGUGAGGGAAGACGGCCCUAUGGGUUGUAAACUUCUUUUAUAUGGGAAUAAAAUGUUCCACGUGUGGGAUUUUGUAUGUACCAUAUGAAUAAGGAUCGGCUAACUCCGUGCCAGCAGCCGCGGUAAUACGGAGGAUCCGAGCGUUAUCCGGAUUUAUUGGGUUUAAAGGGAGCGUAGGUGGAUUGUUAAGUCAGUUGUGAAAGUUUGCGGCUCAACCGUAAAAUUGCAGUUGAAACUGGCAGUCUUGAGUACAGUUGAGGUAGGCGGAAUUCGUGGUGUAGCGGUGAAAUGCUUAGAUAUCACGAAGAACUCCGAUUGCGAAGGCAGCUUACUAAACUGCCACUGACAUUGAUGCUCGAAAGUGUGGGUAUCAAACAGGAUUAGAUACCCUUGUAGUC
rnacentral:rRNA from 1 species